rnacentral:rRNA from 1 species
GAUGAACGCUGGCGGCGUGCCUAAUACAUGCAAGUCGAGCGAACAGACGAGGAGCUUGCUCCUCUGACGUUAGCGGCGGACGGGUGAGUAACACGUGGAUAACCUACCUAUAAGACUGGGAUAACUUCGGGAAACCGGAGCUAAUACCGGAUAAUAUAUUGAACCGCAUGGUUCAAUAGUGAAAGACGGUUUUGCUGUCACUUAUAGAUGGAUCCGCGCCGCAUUAGCUAGUUGGUAAGGUAACGGCUUACCAAGGCGACGAUGCGUAGCCGACCUGAGAGGGCGAUCGGCCACACUGGAACUGAGACACGGUCCAGACUCCUACGGGAGGCAGCAGUAGGGAAUCUUCCGCAAUGGGCGAAAGCCUGACGGAGCAACGCCGCGUGAGUGAUGAAGGUCUUCGGAUCGUAAAACUCUGUUAUUAGGGAAGAACAAAUGUGUAAGUAACUAUGCACGUCUUGACGGUACCUAAUCAGAAAGCCACGGCUAACUAUGUG